rnacentral:rRNA from 1 species
AGACCCGAAACCCGGUGAUCUAGCCAUGGGCAGGUUGAAGGUUGGGUAACACUAACUGGAGGACCGAACCGACUAAUGUUGAAAAAUUAGCGGAUGACCUGUGGCUGGGGGUGAAAGGCCAAUCAAACCGGGAGAUAGCUGGUUCUCCCCGAAAGCUAUUUAGGUAGCGCCUCGUGAAUUCAUCUCCGGGGGUAGAGCACUGUUUCGGCUAGGGGGCCAUCCCGGCUUACCAACCCGAUGCAAACUGCGAAUACCGGAGAAUGUUAUCACGGGAGACACACGGCGGGUGCUAACGUCCGUCGUGAAGAGGGAAACAACCCAGACCGCCAGCUAAGGUCCCAAAGUCAUGGUUAAGUGGGAAACGAUGUGGGAAGGCCCAGACAGCCAGGAUGUUGGCUUAGAAGCAGCCAUCAUUUAAAGAAAGCGUAAUAGCUCACUGGUCGAGUCGGCCUGCGCGGAAGAUGUAACGGGGCUAAACCAUGCACCGAAGCUGCGGCAGCGACACUCAGGUGUUGUUGGGUAGGGGAGCGUUCUGUAAGUCUGCGAAGGUGGCCUGUGAGGGUUGCUGGAGGUAUCAGAAGUGCGAAUGCUGACAUAAGUAACGAUAAAGCGGGUGAAAAGCCCGCUCGCCGGAAGACCAAGGGUUCCUGUCCAACGUUAAUCGGGGCAGGGUGAGUCGACCCCUAAGGCGAG